rnacentral:rRNA from 1 species
GACAGAGGGUGCAAACGUUGUUCGGAAUUACUGGGCGUAAAGCGCGUGUAGGCGGCCCUGUAAGUCGGGUGUGAAAUCCCACGGCUCAACCGUGGAAGUGCAUUCGAAACUACAGGGCUAGAGUUCUGGAGAGGAGAUUGGAAUUUACGGUGUAGCAGUGAAAUGCGUAGAUAUCGUAAGGAAGACCGGUGGCGAAGGCGGAUCUCUGGACAGUUACUGACACUGAGGCACGAAGGCCAGGGGAGCAAACGGG